rnacentral:rRNA from 1 species
UACGGAGGGUGCGAGCGUUGUCCGGAAUCACUGGGCGUAAAGGGCGCGUAGGCGGCUCGGUAAGCGUGCGGUGAAAGCCUGGGGCUCAACUCCGGAUCUGCGGUGGGUACGGGCAGACUAGAGUGAUGUAGGGGAGACUGGAAUUCCUGGUGUAGCGGUGAAAUGCGCAGAUAUCAGGAGGAACACCGAUGGCGAAGGCAGGUCUCUGGGCAUUAACUGACGCUGAGAAGCGAAAGCAUGGGGAGCGAACAGG